UACGGGGGGAGCAAGCGUUGUUCGGAGUUACUGGGCGUAAAGGGCGCGUAGGCGGUCAGCACAAGUCAGUUGUGAAAUCUCCGAGCUUAACUCGGAAAGGUCAACUGAUACUGUGCGACUAGAGUGCGGAAGGGGCAACUGGAAUUCUUGGUGUAGCGGUGAAAUGCGUAGAUAUCAAGAGGAACACCUGCGGCGAAGGCGGGUUGCUGGGCCGACACUGACGCUGAGGCGCGAAAGCUAGGGGAGCGAACGGG
rnacentral:rRNA from 1 species